GGCAGUCGGUCCUGAGCAAAGACUGAAAGAGGAUCUAACCCUGAAAUCUGCUGUUACCUGAAGCUUCACCAUCCAGAAGCCUCAAGAAUCCACCUUCAGCUCACAGAUCCUGCAGUUCCUCAGCCAGGACUGCUGCUGUCUAGGUCUCCAGACUUAGAGACAGAUUUUACGGCAGCCACCGCUUCAUUAAGCAGCAGGAUGGAGGGCAGCAGUAAGACGGAGAACAAGCAUCCCGGCCAGGGUUUCGUGUCGGAAACAUCAGGACAGACGGACUCUUUCCUCACCGCCGCACGACUGCUGCGAGGAGGUUGGCUGGAGGAAGAGAUGACAACAAGGAAGCCAUUUUCAAAUGGGGAAGAGUGUCAACAAUCUCCUUCCAGUUCAGACAGAAUUCAGGUUCUACAUGGAGCCAAGCUUUGCCUCAAGGGCCUCCAGACCAGGAGGGUUCUAGUCCUGAGCAGCAGGAAGACUGAAGAGAGAGAGACAGGCUCUGAAACAAAGACAGACGAAGCAAAGCAGAUGGCUGAAGGAACAGAAAGACAGAGAGAAAGACAGACGGUGAAGGUCUGGACGUCCGGCUGUCGCAUGACAUGCAGACAGUCCAGAAGAUUUAAGGCUCCAAUACUACCAGCAAUUGCUGAGAUAUAAGCUGUUUUUUUUUUUAACUAUGGUUAAAUGUACAGUUGUGUGGUGGAACGUGUGAAUUUUGCUCAAUAAAAUGCAAAUAUGUGGAAAUGUAA